AGGCUUGGAGGAGGUUCUUGAAGCCUUCCUUCGUUCAAGGCAUGUUACAGAAGAUGACAUAAAUCGGAUGAAAGUGGAUAAGAUUGAUAGAGGGGUCAUUUGUGUGAUGACGGACGAAGAAUUUUCAAGAUACAUUCCUUCAUAUGGCGACCGAUUGGCUAUUGCAUCAUUUUGUCGACGAAUGGAAGCUAACUUUGACAAGGAGGGCAUUUUAAACAGAAUUAGGCAAACAAUUAAAACAAGGCGGAUGAUGAGCAAAAGACAUGUCGAAGUACCCCAGCAAACAUCUGUAGGAAAUUCUGGCUUGAUGGCAAGGCCUAAAAACAGCAACGCGGUGAAAUCAAAACGCAGAAUUGAAGUGGGAGGGCUGCACUUUCAAAGCGGGGAUUUUCACCAAGUUAGGUCUAAAUGUGGAGGUGGAACCAGACACCUUGAAAUGGAGAAAACCACCACUGUGUCAGAAGUCAUGACCACUGCAAAAGAGUUGUUUUUUCCUGGUGGACUAUCAUCAAAGGGCUCCAUUAUGGACUUCACACUUAGCAUGUGUGACUUUAAAAGACAAGCUGUACCUCUAGACAGUUCUCUUUCAGAACUAUAUGAACAAUUUAAAUUGAAAAUGGUACGGCUUUAUUUGUGCACAAAGGAGUUGGAGCAUUCAUCCGAGGACCAAAAUGAUCUCUUUGAACAGCCUCCCAAUGUUGGAAGAGUUGCUCAACACUCAACUUCUGCCCUUUCUGCUGAGCCAUUAACUUCA